UCUCAAGCUGAGCCAUCCUUCGGCCCUAUCCCCACCUGCCUUCUCUUGCUCCUCCCUCGCCUCCUGAGUCGUUCCAGGCCAGAAGCAGACUCGCUGCACACUUGGCUGCUGCCCUGCGAGCACCCAGAGCUGCUUCAAGGAGAUGUACCUUUGCGGGGCACAGGAUCCCACCCCCCUAAGGCCCUGUCCGUCCUGCUCCCUGCCUCCUAGCCCUACCUCAUCCCAAGUCCGCAGCGCGGGCCCAGCGGUUGGGCCGUCCCUCCCUCUCUCCACUCCUUUUCUCCCUAGGAAACCGCUGAGCACAAAGGCAGCAUUGAUUCUCCACCACCCGUGAGGGGACUCUGGGAGGCCCGGCCGCCCCCGCGCGCUGCUUACCGCACCCUCUCGCCCGCACCUGGGGGAGCGCGAUGUUCCGACCUUCUGCUUGGGAGUCUGAGCCCACCGCAGCGGCUCCGUCGGCACCUGGAGGGCAGGCCUCACCUGCGGGCCGCCUCUGGGUCCUGGCCUCUGGCCAGGAGGCGUUCAGAACCGGAGGGGAACAGCUUCCUACCCCAGCCCAGUCCUUCUGGGAGGAGUUGGCAGGGGCCUCCGUUGCGUUGCCUACGUACGACCUCUUUUCCUGGAUAAACACAGCUCUGUCUCUGCAGCCAUCAGGCCGGCCUUCUUAACUCCUUCCUUCAGGUUUCCAGCAGAAAGCCAGCCCUGCGCCCCUGAGGUUUUCUCUGCUGGGCCCAGGCCGCUGGGGAGUUGGGGAAGGGCUGCAGCGAAAAGGGUGACAGCCCUUUAGGGAGCAGUGGCCUCCAUCUUUCUGUGCUACACUGGCCCCACCCCAGCCCUCCUAGGUGAAGCCCACAGCCGUGGCAACACAAAAGGUAACUUCUGCAAAACCCUCCUUUGCCGGAAUCCUGCCUUGGGCCCCAUUGUUCCGGUCUAGAGCCAUUCACAUUGCUCCCAGAUGGGGUGAUUUGCGGUGACUAUUUCUCUGAAUUACACGGGACCAAGGAAACGUGACCAGGCUCAAGAUUUCUGGACACAGAGACACUGAGGACAGAGCUGGUUCCAUCAGAGCCCAGGUCAGGCUGGCGGCAAGCACGGUGGCAACCCCCCAUUCUUGUUAGAAGUGUGUUAAACUGUAAACAUGGAGGAUGUCUCCUCCCUCCUUCCCCUCCUUGAAGACAGCUCUAGGAAGCACAGACUACCACGGAAAAGAUGAGGCCAUCAACUGUACUCCAGACCAUAUUUUCUAGCCCAUCUCCCUUGAAGUUUGAUGGGGUCUUGUGACUGCGGAAACACUUUGAGGCUUGGCCCCCAAAACCUUCCUUGGGAUUUUCUCUUCUCUCAUCUGACAACAGGAUGCCACUACCUGGGAUUACAUUGGAAAUCUCUUGUUGAAGAGGACAGGCCUUUUGUCAGCUGGAUUUCUGAAUGAUUCCUAGAUACCAAAAACUAGACUUCAUGAGUGAAAAGUGCAUUCUAUUUCAGAUACAGGUUAGACUACGAAGGUGUAAAGGUUUAUCUGUUUCAGAGUUUGGCAUUACCAUAUCUAAUAAUAAAAUCCUUUAUGA
rnacentral:lncRNA from 1 species